CAGUAGCCGCGGUAAUACGAAGGGGGCUAGCGUUGUUCGGAAUCACUGGGCGUAAAGGGUGCGUAGGCGGAUUCUUAAGUCAGGGGUGAAAUCCCGAGGCUCAACCUCGGAACUGCCUUUGAUACUGGGGAUCUUGAGUCCGGAAGAGGUGAGUGGAACUGCGAGUGUAGAGGUGAAAUUCGUAGAUAUUCGCAAGAACACCGGUGGCGAAGGCGGCUCACUGGUCCGGAACUGACGCUGAGGCACGACAGCGUGGGGAGCAAACAGGAUUAGAUACCCCAGUAGUCCCUGUCUCUUAUAC
rnacentral:rRNA from 1 species